rnacentral:rRNA from 1 species
GAUGAACGCUGGCGGCGUGCCUAAUACAUGCAAGUCGAGCGAACGGACGAGAAGCUUGCUUCUCUGAUGUUAGCGGCGGACGGGUGAGUAACACGUGGAUAACCUACCUAUAAGACUGGGAUAACUUCGGGAAACCGGAGCUAAUACCGGAUGAUAUUUUGAACCGCAUGGUUCAAAAGUGAAAGACGGUCUUGCUGUCACUUAUAGAUGGAUCCGCGCUGCAUUAGCUAGUUGGUAAGGUAACGGCUUACCAAGGCAACGAUGCAUAGCCGACCUGAGAGGGUGAUCGGCCACACUGGAACUGAGACACGGUCCAGACUCCUACGGGAGGCAGCAGUAGGGAAUCUUCCGCAAUGGGCGAAAGCCUGACGGAGCAACGCCGCGUGAGUGAUGAAGGUCUUCGGAUCGUAAAACUCUGUUAUUGGGGAAGAACAUAUGUGUAAGUAGCUGUGCACAUCUUGACGGUACCUAAUCAGAAAGCCACGGCUAACUACGUG